CUGUUAAUGCUAAUCGUGAUAGGGGUUUAUUUUAUUUCUAACUGACUCCUACGUGUUAGCAUUAGUGG